rnacentral:rRNA from 1 species
UAUGUGAUCGUCUCUCGCAUAUCAAUAAGCGGAGGAAAAGAAACUAACAAGGAUUCCCCUAGUAACGGCGAGUGAAGCGGGAAGAGCUCAAAUUUGAAAUCUUAAAGGGUUUCCCUUUACGAAUUGUAGUUUAAAGAAGUGUUUUCUGCUGAGGUUUUGGUAAAAGUUCUUUGGAAUAGGACAUCAUAGAGGGUGAGAAUCCCGUAUUUGACCUUUACUUUCAACUUUGUGAUACACUUUCAAAGAGUCGGAUUGUUUGGGAAUGCAGUCCAAAAUGGGUGGUAAAUUUCAUCUAAAGCUAAAUAUUGGCGAGAGACCGAUAGCGAACAAGUACCGUGAGGGAAAGAUGAAAAGAACUUUGAAAAGAGAGUUAAACAGUACGUGAAAUUGUCAAAAGGGAAGCGUUUGACACCAGUGUUGUUUUUCUGAAAAUCAAUUAAAGAACUGUUUAUGCUAAGUUGUUUAGACUUUAUCAGCUAACUGUUUAGUUUUGAGCUUUUCUUUAAUGCACUUUUCAGUUAACAAGUCAACAUCAAUUUCUUUUGCUGUAAAAAAGCUUGAGGAAGGUGGCUUGAGAUUCGUCUUAAGUGUUUAUAGCCUCUUGCCUAUGCAGUCGGAGAGAUUGAGGUCUGCAGCGUAGAUCCUUCGGGGCUAAAUGCAUUUGUGCUAAGUUAUAGCAUUUUAUAGACAACUUGUUGACUAUGAUUUGUCUUGUAGCUUACUCGCUUAUGUUAUUUUACCUACGCUUAGGAUGUUGAUCUACAGAGCGAGAGU